rnacentral:rRNA from 1 species
AUUGAACGCUGGCGGCAUGCUUUACACAUGCAAGUCGAACGGCAGCGGGGAGAGCUUGCUUCUCUGCCGGCGAGUGGCGAACGGGUGAGUAAUACAUCGGAACGUGUCGAGAAGAGGGGGAUAACCACCCGAAAGGGUGGCUAAUACCGCAUAAAUUCUGAGGAAGAAAGCUGGGGACCUAGGAAUAGGCCUAGCGCUUUUUGAGCGGCCGAUGUCGGAUUAGCUAGUUGGUGAGGUAAAGGCUCACCAAGGCGAAGAUCUGUAGCGGGUCUGAGAGGAUGAUCCGCCACACUGGGACUGAGACACGGCCCAGACUCCUACGGGAGGCAGCAGUGGGGAAUUUUGGACAAUGGGGGCAACCCUGAUCCAGCCAUGCCGCGUGUAUGAAGAAGGCCUUAGGGUUGUAAAGUACUUUUGUUAGGGAAGAAAAGUCAGCUGUGAAUAAUGGCUGAUACUGACGGUACCUAAAGAAUAAGCACCGGCUAACUACGUG